rnacentral:rRNA from 1 species
UACGUAGGGUCCGAGCGUUGUCCGGAAUUAUUGGGCGUAAAGGGUGCGUAGGCGGCGCGGUAAGUCGGGUGUGAAAUCUCGGAGCUUAACUCCGAAACUGCAUUCGAUACUGCCGUGCUUGAGGACUGGAGAGGAGACUGGAAUUUACGGUGUAGCGGUGAAAUGCGUAGAUAUCGUAAGGAAGACCAGUGGCGAAGGCGGGUCUCUGGACAGUUCCUGACGCUGAGGCACGAAGGUCAGGGGAGCAAACGGG